AGGAUGAACGCUGGCGGCGUGCCUAAUACAUGCAAGUCGAGCGGUAAGGCCCCUUCGGGGGUACACGAGCGGCGGACGGCUGAGUAACACGUAGGAACGUACCCCAAACUGAGGGAUAAGCACCAGAAAUGGUGUCUAAUACCGCAUGUGGUCUUCGGAUUAAAGCUUCGGCGGUUUGGGAACGGCCUGCGCAUGAUUAGCUUGUUGGUGAGGUAAAAGCUUACCAAGGCGACGAUCAUUAGCU
rnacentral:rRNA from 1 species